rnacentral:rRNA from 1 species
CCUAUGGUACGCGGAGGGACAUUACCGAGUUUUCACUCCCAAACCCCUGUGAACAUACCUCGACGUUGCUUCGGCGGGACCGCCCCGGUCGCCCCUCGCGGGCGGACCGGAACCAGGCGCCCGCCGGAGGACCACAAACUCUUGUUUCCUAAUAGUGGCAAUACUCUGAGUCUCACAAAAAAAUAAAUCAAAACUUUCAACAACGGAUCUCUUGGCUCUGGCAUCGAUGAAGAACGCAGCGAAAUGCGAUAAGUAAUGUGAAUUGCAGAAUUCAGUGAAUCAUCGAAUCUUUGAACGCACAUUGCGCCCGCCAGUAUUCUGGCGGGCAUGCCUGUUCGAGCGUCAUUUCAACCCUCAAGCCCCAGCGGCUUGGUGUUGGGGACCGGCCCCGCGCCGCCCCCGAAAUGCAGUGGCGACCUCGCCGCAGCCUCCCCUGCGUAGUAGCACAAACCUCGCACCGGAGCGCGGAGACGGUCACGCCGUUAAACGCCCAACUUUCUUAGAGUUGACCUCGGAUCAGGUAGGAAUACCCGCUGAACUUAAGCAUAUAA